UCUCUCUCUCUCUCUCUCACAUAUAUGAAGCAGUCGUUCAUAUCAAUCUCUCCAAGAAGCAAUCUCUUCAGUCCAGCCAAAGGAGUUUCUGGGCUUUCUUCCCAUCAUUUGGUUUCUUCAAGGUAAAGGUAAAAAGAAAUAAUCUUUAAAUUUUUUAUUUUUAUUUUUUAAAUGGGAAUGAUUUGGAAGAGAGAUGUAAUUCAUAAGCUUCUGUUUUUGGGUUUUUUUCCUUUGUGGGUUUUCUUUCAUCUAUGUGGAUGAAGAUGCCUUCUUUUCAUUGAUUGAAACCUUCCCUUCCCCUGUUUGUUUGAGACUAUGGAUGACUGUUGAUUGAGUUGAAUGGUGGAAUGGGAUUCAUGUAGCCGACCCUAUAGUUCUUGUUAGUUUAGUUUGUCUGUUCCAAUAUCUUCUUUCGCCCUUGAUUGAGCUGUUCAUUCUAUUUCAGCAUUGACUAGAUCUUUUGGGUUCCAAUUGUCCAUGAACAAGGGGCAAAAAUUCCCCAUUGUUGAACUGGAAUAUUAUAUUAUUGAUAUUUAACUGGAUGAUAUGCAUGUUAUACUCACCUCUUCAGUUUGUAAAGGUGGGAACCAUGAUUCUCUUGUCCAGGCUAUUAGUUUGUUUGAGCUUGUUUCCAGCAAAAUUCGUAUAAAAACGGGUUGUAGGUGAUCAGUUCUCUUUCAUUGACUACUGCAGCAGUUUCCUUUGCAGGAACUCACACUACAACAAGACAGGGGAUUGCCGACGCUCUUUCAACGUAUUUUUACCAGCGCCUAGAACAUAGCGCUGGUUAGUUUCAUAAGGGAUAUAAUCAUGGCCAAUCUAAGCUCAGUUUGAGUCAUUCAGAAAUGAAAGAAUGUGACAUCGAGAUCGGUGUUGUUGUCAAGGAGCAACAUAAAAUUAGUGAUGCAAAUGUUGAGAGGAAAAAAUUGGAAAAUGAGGUACUUAUGGUGGUUGUUCUGUCCCUAUUUUAACUUGCUUGAUCUACGAAAUUGUGGAUGUGUUCUUGAUAGAAAUUUAAUCCUUCCCAUUUCACACAAAUUAAAUGGAUGGAGAUGGAAUAGAAAGAUUGUACCCUGAAGGUAGAUAAACUACUUGAAAGGCAUAGUUAGAUUGCAGCUGAGAAAUAAUGAUAUAGAAAAAGUGGGAAGAUUAUGAAUUCUCAUCUCAUGAUCCUCAUAAAUCAAGGGAGGAGCUUGAGAAACUUCAAGCUGAAAAAUCUAGAUGUGUGAUGCAUGAUAUGAUUUAAGAGUUACAAAACAUUGAUAAAACAAUGAAGAAUGGCUAUUGAGGACAGUCCCAACCAUCAAGUAGAUUAUUGAGAUAAGUUAGUUGCUUGUUUCCUAAUUUAGCAAUGAAACCCAAGUCACAGUUUAGAUGGCAUCAUAUCCUAUAUUGUUAGAAAAUUAGCCUAUUAAGUAAGAAGCUUGAUUUUACAUGCCUUAUUGAAAAGGGAAGCAAGGUUGGUUUUAGAUUUCUUACAAAAUAACCAGUGCCAAGAAUCCAUUUUGUGUAUACAUGUGUUGGAAAAUGUUCUUACUGUGAUAUUCUUCAAAUUGAAAAAAAAAAAAAAAAACCC